AAACUCUGGAUAUGUUGAAGUUGCAAAACUCCAAAGAUAAUAGCAAUGAGGACAAAAUCGCAAUGCAACAACAAGAGAAUUCAAGUGGGAAGAUGCCAACACCAAUGCAGAAGCAACCUGUCAGGCCAAGGCAGAAGAAUACGACUGUGGAGUUGCCAAUACAGCAGCAAUUAUUGAGGCAUUCUGAGUCGUUUGUGAUCACAACAAAUUGGGAA
rnacentral:misc_RNA from 1 species